rnacentral:lncRNA from 10 species
UAAAAAUUUAAUAUCAGUGUGUUGGGCAAGGAAAUGGAUCCAUGUAUAAAUAAGUGAAAUGCAAACCAUAGUUUUUUGUAUGUCAUUUCCUUCUAAACAGAAAAUAAAAAUAAAUGAUAGACAUCUAAAACACCCUUACAGUUUACAAGAGGAUCCCCGAAGCUACAGAAUCACAGAUGACGCGGAGCUGCGUGAAGGCGUCUCUGGGCGAGUCCCACAGGGAAGAUGAAAAGCAAGCGGCCCGGAAGGGCCCGAGGGCGGAGCGCAGGCUCACGGGACACAGCGCGCACCAAUGAUGAGCAAACUGAACCAGCGUCAGGAGGCGCCAGUUAAACUCAAAUGUUUCAGCUCAACAAGGCCUGUGAGGUGGUUCCUAUUUCUCCAGUUUUACGUUCUCCGGUAUGUCUUUAUCAGCAGCAUGAAAACAAGACUAAUACACCCCCACACCAUGGUACCGAAGACGGGACACAGCUGCUCUACUGAUUAAAUUCAACUGACGUGAGGUUGCAGCUAUUCUAUUCAUAUAUUCACCAUCCCAUUCUUGAUGAUGUUCCUCAAGCUUACUUAACUUGCACGUGGAUGCAGAAGAAAGGUUUCUUUUGAAAGACUGUUGUAAAUAAAAGAGUCUGUAGUGCUUAUGUUGUUGUUUGUUGACUGACUAUAAAAUAGAUCCUUGCUGAUUUGUACAUUUGAUUUCCCAUGGGGCAGUAACAAUAUGAAAGUAGGAUUAAGGCCGGGCACGGUGGCUCACCCCUGUAAUCCCAGCACUUUGGGAGGCCGAGGCAGGUGUAUCACUUGAGGUCAGGCGUUAGAGACCAGCCUGACCAACAUGGUGAAACUCCAUCCCUACUAAAAAUACAAAAAUUAGCCAGGCGUGGUGGCACGUGCCUGUAGUCCCAGCUACUCAGGAGGCUGAGGCAGGAGAAUCGCUUGAACCCGGGAGGCAAAAGUUGCAGUGAUCCAGGAUCAUGCCACUGUGCAGCAGCCAGAGUAACAGAGUAAGACUCCGUCUCAAAAAAAAAAAAAAAAGAAAAAGAAAAAAGUAGGAUUAUUAUGUGUUUUUCCACACUAUUGUCUUACUGUCUUUGUUCCCCUUCCUAAGUGUUCUUUUCGAAUCGCACCAGGAGAGGGUUAGGAUCACGGUAAUAAGCCAACCCCAGGAAUGUCUCCCAUAACACAUGAAUUAAGUCAGCUGUGGCUUUUUAACACGCUUCGCCCAGUGGCUCCAGGUGCAGAGCGGGGCGGGCAGGAAGGGUCCCAAAGGACCAUGAGGCAGUGCAACUCCUGACCGUGCACUGAGCUUUAAGAGCCUCAGUGCCUGGAUUUGAGAAUUCCAACCUCGGCAUUGCAGCCCUUUUUUUUUUUUUUUUUUAAAUAGUAUGCCCAUCUGUUGGCCUCAUGAGCAAGCAGCUGCACGAGGGCCUGAGUAUCAACAUUCUUAAUGUCAGGUGGUUGUGAAAUUUUGCAUUUGUGACAAAAAGUCUUCAGGGCCGUAAUUAACAGAGUAGGGAAUUUCAAUUCGAAUACUAUAACUUCUUUAAAACUAUGCCCAUCUGCUGGCCUCAUGUCCUCAACAGAGCUUGAGUCCUGAAAGCAACAGGAAAGGAAAAUUACAAAAUGUAAUUGUUAUUUCAAUAAGUUUUGCAGAGAGGAGGGGACAUGGUGGUGAUGAAGUGGUGAGGAAAGAGGGAUGGGCAUGUUCGUAAUUUACAAAGGAAGUAAGAGGAGCUGUUAUAAUUGGAUUUCAAUUCUGCUUUUCAAAAUGUUCUCAGUAGGACCAGGCACAGUGGCUCACAACUGUAAGGACUUUGGGAGGCCAAGGCUGGAGGAUUGCUUGAGGCCAGGAAUGCAAGACCAGCCUGGGCAACAUAGACUCUAUCUCUACAAAAAAAAAAAAAAAAUUCUCAGUAGAAAUUGGGCUGUAGGUUUGGAGAGUCCUGGAUUAAUGUCUUACAAUUAGCAAAACUCAUGGUCUUUGUGCUUUCCUUCUCCCCCAUGACCCCACUCCUUUCCAGCCUACCCCAAAAUUUGAAAAGCAGCUUUAUUUCCUUAUGUAAUAUAGUAAUGUGAGUAAACCUCACACUGAUACUUUUUGUGGCCAAAGUGGGAGAAAGUUCCAGUAAAACGUUGUAACUAUCCAGUCAUGUUACCUGGGUAUCCUUCCAGUCAUUUUUUCUGUGUCUGUAUAUACAUCUAAUUUUACCCCAAAAUUGAGAUCACAUCAGCAUCAUCUACUGAGCAACUAUGGCUGGAAUUAAGGAUAUAAAGAUGAAUAGGACAUAAUCUCUGCCCUGGAGACAAACCACAUAACAGUUAAACAGAUCAUUCACCCUAGGGUGAUAAUGCUUCCUCAAGGAAGGCCCAGAGUGCCACCAAUGAGAGCACUCCUGGACCCAGGAUAAACAAGGCAGACAAAGCUUCCCAGAAGAGGUGUCACCUGCAUGGAAGGAUGAGGAGUUGAUUAGAUGACACAGGGUGAAGAGGGUGUUCCAGGUCAGAGGAGCAGGUCGAUGGUAACAGCGUAUUAAUAGCUGUUCGGAAUUGCUGAAGCAUGCACUAUCCACAAUAGCAAAGACUUGGAACCAACCCAAAUGCCCAUCAAUGAUAGACUGCACAAAGAAAAUGUGCCACAUAUAUACCAUGGAAUACUAUGCAGCCAUAAAAAAGAUGAGUUCAUAUCAUUUGCAGGGACAUGGAUGAAGCUGGAAACCAUCAUCCUCAGCAAACACAGGGACAGAAAACCAAACACCGCAUGUUCUCACUUAUAAGUGGGAGUUGAACGAUGAGAACACAUGGACACAGGGAGGGGAAGAUCACACACCAGGGCCUGUUGGAGGGUAGAGAGGGGAGGGAGAGCAUUAGGAGAAAUACCUAAUGUAGAUGACAGGUUGAUGGGUGCAGCAAACCACCAUGGCACAUGUAUACCUACGUAACAAAGCUGCACAUUCUGCACAUGUAUCCCAGAACUUUAAUUAGAAAAAAAAAAAUUGCCGGAGCAUGAAAUGCCAGUGUGGAGGCUCCUCCACUGAGCAGAGGCCAGGUUGUGGAGGACCUAGAAAGGCGCGCCAAGGAAUGUAGAUUUUACCCCUUGGAAAACAGAAGCAUUUCAAUAUGGUGUUGCUGUUUUGAUAGAUGAUGGUGGAAGCAUGUGAGGUUUGGAUUUGAGACAGAACACACUAUGGAAGACCAGUCAGGAGCCUAGAAUUAGUCCAGGGAACAGAAAGCAAGGAAGAGGGAAAGAAAUCCAAACUAUUGGUGGUUAAGUUCACUGGACUUUGUGACUAUUAUGCGCAUGUAGGAGUUGCAGGACAAAGAGUUACCCAGAUUACCACCAAGGAUGAGGUAAUAAUUAUCUAAUUCAGUUAGACAAGACAGGAAGUGAAGCUUGCCCUAUGGCAGUGGAGGCAGACCAAAGCUGAGUUCAGUUCUCUGCAUGUUGUGUGUAAGGUAAAUAUAUACACAGGGCCAGUAGAUCUGCAGCUUAAGUUCAGACAGGGGUUGAGGGAUAGAGAUACAAGGAUAGAAUUUAUCUGCAUACAAGUAAAAACCAUGAGAGUAGAUGGAUUGAACUAAGGAGCAUGUACAAAGUGAGACGAGCUGCAAGCAAUGAGCUCUAGGCUUCAUGCUUCAGAGGCUCCCAGGGUGUCAAGCUUUGUGGUCAAUAGGUUGAAGGGUCUCUCACCAAACACCUGCGUAGUCAUAAAUCGAGAUGUACCCACACUCCAAGUACAAGAGAUAAUUUAUGAGUCAACCUUUCCUAAAAGGUUAUUCCCAGUAUGUUGACUGACUACAAGAAUCAUUCAUUUAUUUGACAAAUCUUUACUAAGCUCUGUAAAGCAGGCAACAGUUCAAGACCCUGUUGGUGAUGGUAGGAAUGUAACGGCUGUUAGAAUAUGGAAAUAUUGCUGCCCCAGAGGGUAUAUCACAGUGGUUCUCAACUAGGGUGAUUUUACUUCCCAGGAGACAUUUGAAAAUAUCUGGUGACAUUUUUUGGUUGUCAUAACUGAGGGGGAAGUGAAAAUGGCAACUAGUGGGUAGAAGCCAGAGAGAUUCCUAAACAUCCUACAUCAGGACAGCAGCCCCCAACAGCAAAGAGCGAUAACGCUCCCCAAAAUGUCAGUAGCACCACGUUUAAGAAACGCAGGAAUCCAGUCAUGAUUAUGGGGUCCCUGCCAGUGUCCCCAC